rnacentral:rRNA from 1 species
UGGGGAAUAUUGCACAAUGGGGGGAAACCCUGAUGCAGCGACGCCGCGUGAAGGAAGAAGUAUCUCGGUAUGUAAACUUCUAUCAGCAGGGAAGAUAAUGACGGUACCUGACUAAGAAGCCCCGGCUAACUACGUGCC